AUGAACGCUGGCGGCGUGCCUAAUACAUGCAAGUCGCGCGAACAGACGAGGAGCUUGCUCCUCUGACGUUAGCGGCGGACGGGUGAGUAACACGUGGAUAACCUACCUAUAAGACUGGGAUAACUUCGGGAAACCGGAGCUAAUACCGGAUAAUAUAUUGAACCGCAUGGUUCAAUAGUGAAAGACGGUUUUGCUGUCACUUAUAGAUGGAUCCGCGCCGCAUAGCUAGUUGGUAAGGUAACGGCUUACCAAGGCAACGAUGCGUAGCCGACCUGAGAGGGUGAUCGGCCACACUGGAACUGAGACACGGUCCAGACUCCUACGGGAGGCAGCAGUAGGGAAUCUUCCGCAAUGGGCGAAAGCCUGACGGAGCAACGCCGCGUGAGUGAUGAAGGUCUUCGGAUCGUAAAACUCUGUUAUUAGGGAAGAACAAAUGUGUAAGUAACUAUGCACGUCUUGACGGUACCUAAUCAGAAAGCCACGGCUAACUACGUG
rnacentral:rRNA from 1 species